UAAUACGAAGGGACCUAGCGUAGUUCGGAAUUACUGGGCUUAAAGAGUUCGUAGGUGGUUAAAAAAGUUGGUGGUGAAAUCCCAGAGCUUAACUCUGGAACUGCCAUCAAAACUUUUUAGCUAGAGUAUGAUAGAGGAAAGCAGAAUUUCUAGUGUAGAGGUGAAAUUCGUAGAUAUUAGAAAGAAUACCAAUUGCGAAGGCAGCUUUCUGGAUCAUUACUGACGCUGAGGAACGAAAGCAUGGGUAGCGAAGAGGAUUAGAUACCCUCGUAGUCCAUGCCGUAAACGAUGUGUGUUAGACGUUGGAAAUUUAUUUUCAGUGUCGCAGCGAAAGCGUUAAACACACCGCCUGGGGAGUACGACCGCAAGG
rnacentral:rRNA from 1 species